AUCUGCUUAAGAUUGCUGUUAGCCAGCCCAAAGUUCCAGUUGGGAUGUAAGCACUUUCUGGAAGCAGUGGAAAAGAAACAAUACAGUUGGUUUUGGGUAUGUCCAAAUGGAGGUAAAGACUGCCAUUACAGGCAUGCACUUCCUCCAGGUGAUUAAUGGUUUUCUUCAUAAAAAUCCAUCCAUUGUAUUAAAAGUUGCAUCAUGCUAUGAUCAUGGCCUCUCUUUAAGUCCAGUUCACUAAAGAUUUAGUGUUAUUUUGAUACCAAAAUGCCAUGUGUUAAAGUCCCACAUCGGCUAUAUUUGGACCAUUUCUCUUUCAUAUGUGUUGGAACCUCCCUUCUCUCCCAGGGGCUUUUUGGAGAGUAAUCUAAUGAGAUGAUAUUAGAGCCAAACUCUAGGGACUCAACACUUUGGGGCAAUACAUAUGUGUUAAAAGUCCUGCAUCAGCUAUGCUUGGACCAUUUCUCCUCCAUAUGUUGGAGAAUAAUCUAAUGAGAUUCCACAUAUUCUCAUACCUUGCUAUUGUUCUCUCUCUCUCUCUUUCAUGUGUGUGUAUUGAUUUUUUCAUUUCCAUGCCUGUAAAUUUAUUUGAUGAAAUUUAUUGUGUGGUAAUCAGCGUGCAUAAGUAACUGCUUCAACUCCUAUGACUCUCAAACUGUUCAUGCAAUUGAAGAAGGAAAAAGAUCGAACAGAGAGAUGCAGGUCUGGCUGCUCAGAGAGGCAAGGAUCUGUAAAAUUAAAAUGUUUGGUGAAAACCAAUUGGAUCUUAGGGCGGCGUUUGGUUUGAUGGAACGGUUUUGGGGGAUCUGGAUUUCGUACAAGAAUUUGGAAUUGGGAGGAUUCGGAAUCGGAAGGCUUUGAAUCUUUGGUGUGUUUGGUUUGUAGGAUCUGGAAUGAAAUUGAAUUCUGUUCUUGUCGUGUUGAACACAUAGUCAACACGGCAUUCUGGGUGUCAUGUAACCCAGAUUCAUGCGUAUGUUUGUCCUCUAAAGUGGUGACUGCCUUUUUAACUAGUGGAAUACAGUCUUGAAAGACUUGCUCAUCACCAAAUCAAACAGCAUCCAAUUCCAUUCCAAAAUUUAAUGGGAAAAUCGCAGGUCAGACUUCUUUCUUAUAUAGGCUAUUUCGAUGAUCGGAUUUUUUUUAAGAAAACAACUGUUCUACUCUUUGGAGUAGAUGUCAAGUACUGCAUGCAUCCCACCUC